rnacentral:rRNA from 1 species
ACGCUCGACACCUACGGGAGACAGCAGUAGGGAAUCUUCCACAAUGGGCGCAAGCCUGAUGGAGCAACACCGCGUGAGUGAAGAAGGGUUUCGGCUCGUAAAGCUCUGUUGUUGGAGAAGAACGUGCGUGAGAGUAACUGUUCACGCAGUGACGGUAUCCAACCAGAAAGUCACGGCUAACUACGUGCCGGCAGCCGCGGUAAUCUGAGGCGGGCGUGGCAAGGC